rnacentral:rRNA from 1 species
UACGGAGGGGGCAAGCGUUAUUCGGAAUUAUUGGGCGUAAAGGGCGCGUAGGCGGCUAGAUGUGUCAAAGGUGAAAUCCCUCGGCUCAACUGAGGAACUGCCUUUGAAACUGUCUGGCUUGAGGCCGGGAGAGGGUAGCGGAAUUCCCAGUGUAGCGGUGAAAUGCGCAGAUAUCAGGAGGAACACCGGUGGCGAAGGCGGUGGUCUGGGCCGGCACUGACGCUGAGGAGCGAAAGCGUGGGUAGCAAACAGG